rnacentral:rRNA from 1 species
UACGUAGGGUGCGAGCGUUAAUCGGAAUUACUGGGCGUAAAGCGUGCGCAGGCGGUUUUGUAAGUCAGAUGUGAAAUCCCCGGGCUUAUCCUGGGAAUGGCAUUUGGGACUGCAAGGCUAGAGUGUGGCAGAGGAGACUGGAAUUCCUGGUGUAGCAGUGAAAUGCGUAGAUAUCGAGAGGAACACCAGUGGCGAAGGCGAGUCCCUGGACAACUACUGACACUGAGGCACGAAAGCUAGGGGAGCAAACAGG